AGGGGAAUUUUGGACAAUGGGCGAAAGCCUGAUCCAGCCAUGCCGCGUGAGUGAAGAAGGCCUUCGGGUUGUAAAGCUCUUUUAGUCGGAAAGAAAGAGUUGCAAUGAAUAAUUGUGAUUUAUGACGGUACCGACAGAAAAAGCACCGGCUAACUACGUGCCAGCAGCCGCGGUAAUACGUAGGGUGCGAGCGUUAAUCGGAAUUACUGGGCGUAAAGGGUGCGCAGGCGGUCUUGCAAGUCAGAUGUGAAAGCCCCGGGCUUAACCUGGGAAUUGCGUUUGAAACUACAAGGCUAGAGUGCAGCAGAGGGGAGUGGAGUUCCAUGUGUAGCAGUGAAAUGCGUAGAGAUGUGGAAGAACACCGAUGGCGAAGGCAGCUCCCUGGGUUGACACUGACGCUCAUGCACGAAAGCGUGGGGAGCAAACA
rnacentral:rRNA from 1 species